rnacentral:rRNA from 1 species
GCAGCACGGGGGCAACCCUGGUGGCGAGUGGCGAACGGGUGAGUAACAUAUCGGAACGUGCCCUGGAGUGGGGGAUAACUAGUCGAAAGAUUAGCUAAUACCGCAUACGAUCUACGGAUGAAAGUGGGGGAUCGCAAGACCUCAUGCUCGUGGAGCGGCCGAUAUCUGAUUAGCUAGUUGGUGGGGUAAAGGCCUACCAAGGCAUCGAUCAGUAGCUGGUCUGAGAGGACGACCAGCCACACUGGGACUGAGACACGGCCCAGACUCCUACGGGAGGCAGCAGUGGGGAAUUUUGGACAAUGGGCGCAAGCCUGAUCCAGCAAUGCCGCGUGAGUGAAGAAGGCCUUCGGGUUGUAAAGCUCUUUUGUCAGGGAAGAAACGGUUCGGGUUAAUACCUUGGGCUAAUGACGGUACCUGAAGAAUAAGCACCGGCUAACUACGUGCCAGCAGCCGCGGUAAUACGUAGGGUGCAAGCGUUAAUCGGAAUUACUGGGCGUAAAGCGUGCGCAGGCGGUUGUGCAAGACAGAUGUGAAAUCCCCGGGCUCAACCUGGGAAUUGCAUUUGUGACUGUACGGCUAGAGUGUGUCAGAGGGGGGUAGAAUUCCACGUGUAGCAGUGAAAUGCGUAGAGAUGUGGAGGAAUACCGAUGGCGAANGCAGCCCCCUGGGAUAACACUGACGCUCAUGCACGAAAGCGUGGGGGAGCAAACAGGAUUAGAUACCCUGGUAGUCCACGCCCUAAACGAUGUCUACUAGUUGUCGGGUCUUUAUUGACUUGGUAACGCAGCUAACGCGUGAAGUAGACCGCCUGGGGAGUACGGUCGCAAGAUUAAAACUCAAAGGAAUUGACGGGGANCCGCACAAGCGGNGGANGAUGUGGAUUAANUUCGAUGCNNCGCGAAAAACCNUACCUACCCU